rnacentral:lncRNA from 7 species
GGAGAUCACCCCUUGUGGAGAUUUUGUGAGCCUACAACACUGUGAAAAAAUUUCAUGUUUCUGCCAAAUGUUUGGCAGAAAACAAGAGGUGCACACUUCUUUUCCCGUUAAGUGAUUCUUCAUGUUCCAGUGGAAAGAUUGGCAAGGAGGAGACUUUCUAUGUAUGCAUGACUUCCUUUGUUAUUAUAACAGUAAGAACCUGGGCUGGAAUCUUCACUCUAAAAGCAAAACUCCGAAUUAUCUUACUCAAAUAUGCACUUUCACCAAUAAUGUAUUACUUGAGCAGAGCUCAAAAUUGUUAGAACAAAACUGAACGUGGCUGUUUAGAGAGACAUAAAGUGCCAAGAUGGCCGAAGUGAAAAGAAAAUAUAUGGCUAUAGAUGUUAUCAAUCUUGCCUUUCUUUCUCUUCUUCUCUUUUUUUCAUUCAAAUGAUUAUGUGAUAAAACUUUAAGCCAGGCUACAAUUACAGCUACUACUGGAACUUGUUUAAAGUGAACUUCUGGACACUGACCUUCAUUUUAUUUCUGAGAAAACAAAUACUCUGCAGUCAACAGUUGUGUGCAGCUAGAAUAAAUGUAACUGCUGAGAGGGUGUACAGCACAGUCAAAAAAAAAAAAAAAGCACUUGUCACUUAGCAUCAAGCCUAACAUGUGAAGGGGAAGCUUUCAUUGUCUAAAGAUGGGAUACAGCACAUAUGUAGAGGGAUAUAAGCUUCUCUAUCUGCCACAUGCCUGUGCUUCACAUUUAUCUGGGAGAACAUUAUAUUUGCAACAGUACUGGGGAUGAGAAACGUGGUGGUGGGCACAUUGGUUUCUCUGACUGCUUAGUGGUUUGACUCUUUUCUAAGGGUGUCAAACAAAGCAGUGGACGAGGGUUGUGAAGUGUCUUUUUUUCAUGUACCACUAGGCUUACUUACAUCACUGAAUAAUGUCAUAUUUCUAUGGUAAUGAUGGUAAUUCCCAUCGUAGACUUCAUUCUGAUUU